CGACCGGCGCACGGGUGCGUAACGCGUAUGCACCACCUUAACAGGGGAGUAACACUGAGAAAUUGGUACUAAUACCCCAUAAUAUCAUAGAAGGCAUCUUUUUAUGGUUGAAAAUUCCGAUGGUUAGAGAUGGGCAUGCGUUGUAUUAGCUAGUUGGUGGGGUAACGGCUCACCAAGGCGACGAUACAUAGGGGGACUGAGAGGUUAACCCCCCCACACUGGUACUGAGGCACGGACCAG
rnacentral:rRNA from 1 species